rnacentral:rRNA from 1 species
GAUCAUGGCUCAGAUUGAACGCUGGCGGCAGGCCUAACACAUGCAAGUCGAGCGGUAGCACAAGAGAGCUUGCUCUCUGGGUGACGAGCGGCGGACGGGUGAGUAAUGUCUGGGAAACUGCCUGAUGGCGGGGGAUAACUAGUGGAAACGGUAGCUAAUACCGCAUAACGUCGCAAGACCAAAGUGGGGGACCUUCGGGCCUCACGCCAUCAGAUGUGCCCAGGUGGGAUUAGCUGGUAGGUGGGGUAACGGCUCACCUAGGCGACGAUCCCUAGCUGGUCUGAGAGGAUGACCAGCCACACUGGAACUGAGACACGGUCCAGACUCCUACGGGAGGCAGCAGUGGGGAAUAUUGCACAAUGGGCGCAAGCCUGAUGCAGCCAUGCCGCGUGUGUGAAGAAGGCCUUCGGGUUGUAAAGCACUUUCAGCGAGGAGGAAGGUAAUGU